rfam:Oryza meridionalis cultivar OR44 (W2112) chromosome 3, whole genome shotgun sequence.
AAUAAACCCUAGAUUUCCAUGUCCAAUGUUUGACUGUCCGUCUUAUUUAAAAAAUAUUAUGUAAAAAAUAAAAAAAACAAGUCAAGUAUAAAGUAUUAAUCAUAUUUUAUUAUCUAACAACAAUGAAAAUACUAAUUAUAAAAAAAAUUUAAAUAAGACGAAUAGUUAAACGUUGGAUACAGAAACUUAGGGUUUGUCUUUUU